rnacentral:rRNA from 1 species
GGCGGAAUGCUUUACACAUGCAAGUCGGGCGGCAGCAUGGACUUCGGUCUGAUGGCGAGCGGCGAACGGGUGAGUAACAUAUAGGAACAUACCCAGUAAUGGGGGAUAACGCCGAGAAAUCGGUGCUAAUACCGCAUACGCCCUGAGGGGGAAAGCGGGGGAUCUUCGGACCUCGCGUUACUGGAUUGGCCUAUAUCUGAUUAGCUAGUUGGUGAGGUAAAGGCUCACCAAGGCGACGAUCAGUAGCUGGUCUG